CGCAAAAACAACACUGGCCCCUGGUUCUCCAUUGAGGGUAAGAAUGAAGAGAGAGGAGUUUCUGGCGUUUCUUACCUGAGGAAACUCUAUGUGACUGUUGAUGGCAUCACAGUGACAAUGAUGAAAGAUAGGAAAAUUCUGGUGAAUGGACUCAGGGUGUCUCUCCCUCACUCCCCAUCUCCGCUCAUUUCACUGUCUGCUGCUGGACAAUAUGUAAUCCUCACAACUCCGUUCGGCCUGAAGGUGCAGUGGGACGGCAAUCA